UAGGGAAUCUUCCGCAAUGGACGAAAGUCUGACGGAGCAACGCCGCGUGAGUGAAGAAGGAUUUCGGUUCGUAAAACUCUGUUGUUAGGGAAGAAAAAAUGUAUAGUAACUAUAUACAAAAGAGACGGUACCUAACCAGAAAGCCACGGCUAACUACGUGCCAGCAGCCGCGGUAAUACGUAGGUGGCAAGCGUUGUCCGGAAUUAUUGGGCGUAAAGCGCGGGCAGGUGGUUUAGAAAGUCUGAUGUGAAAGCCCACGGCUCAACCGUGGAGGGUCAUUGGAAACUAAUAAACUUGAGUGCAGGAGAGAAAAGUGGAAUUCCUAGUGUAGCGGUGAAAUGCGUAGAGAUUAGGAGGAACACCGGUGGCGAAAGCGGCUUUUUGGCCUGCAACUGACACUGAGGCGCGAAAGCGUGGGGAGCAAACAGG
rnacentral:rRNA from 1 species